rnacentral:rRNA from 1 species
GACGGAGGGUGCUAGCGUUGUUCGGAAUGACUGGCGUAAAGGGCGCGUAGGCGGCUCGUGAAGUCGGGUGUGAAAGCCCGGGGCUCAACCCCGGAACGGCAUCCGAUACUGGCGGGCUUGAGACCGGGAGAGGAGGGUGGAAUACCCAGUGUAGAGGUGAAAUUCGUAGAUAUUGGGUGGAACACCGGUGGCGAAAGCGGCUCUCUGGCCCGGAUCUGACGCUGAGGCGCGAAAGCGUGGGGAGCAAACAGGG